rnacentral:lncRNA from 1 species
CAAAAUCUCAGAGAAGAGUUGUGUGGAGUUCACAUAAGCAAAAUAAACUUUGCACCCCAAGGGCAGGAAGAAUAUUCAUCUGAGGCUUGGAGAUGGAGUGUUCUUUCUUUUGUUCUCCCACAGCUGGAGAAACAAGAGCAAUGCUUUGAGAAAUUACAGAGCAGGUGCUCUCCCAGGGACACAUUGACCAGUGGAGAGAAGAUAGAAUCUCCAGAGAAUGUACCUGGCCAUUCAGACUUGCUCUCCUCACACCCAUGGAGGACUGGGACCAUUUCAAAAGAAUGUGUAGUAUACAGUGCUUGUGCCAUGAUGCCUGCAAUGACCGAAGGAGCACAGACACACGGGAAGCAUGGAACACGGAGUAACACAUGUGCUAGAGAGAUGGUGGCUGCUAUUAUCCCCCUCAUCCCACUCACCAUUCAAAUGGCAGUCACUCUUUUCACUUAG